rnacentral:rRNA from 1 species
AGUGAACGCUGGCGGUAGGCCUAACGCAUGCAAGUCGAACGGCAGCACAGUAAGAGCUUGCUCUUACGGGUGGCGAGUGGCGGACGGGUGAGGAAUACAUCGGAAUCUACUUUUUCGUGGGGGAUAACGUAGGGAAACUUACGCUAAUACCGCAUACGACCUACGGGUGAAAGCAGGGGAUCUUCGGACCUUGCGCGAUUGAAUGAGCCGAUGUCGGAUUAGCUAGUUGGCGGGGUAAAGGCCCACCAAGGCGACGAUCCGUAGCUGGUCUGAGAGGAUGAUCAGCCACACUGGAACUGAGACACGGUCCAGACUCCUACGGGAGGCAGCAGUGGGGAAUAUUGGCCAAUGGGCGCAAGCCUGAUCCAGCCAUACCGCGUGGGUGAAGAAGGCCUUCGGGUUGUAAAGCCCUUUUGUUGGGAAAGAAAAGCAGCAGGUUAAUACCCCGCUGUUCUGACGGUACCCAAAGAAUAAGCACCGGCUAACUUCGUG